rnacentral:rRNA from 1 species
GACGAACGCUGGCGGCGUGCCUAAUACAUGCAAGUCGAGUGGACCACUUCGGUGGUCAGCGGCGGACGGGUGAGUAACACGUGGGCAACCUGCCUGUAAGACUGGGAUAACACCGGGAAACCGGUGCUAAUACCGGAUAAUCCUUUCCUUCACAUGAGGGAAAGCUGAAAGACGGUUUCGGCUGUCACUUACAGAUGGGCCCGCGGCGCAUUAGCUAGUUGGUGAGGUAACGGCUCACCAAGGCAACGAUGCGUAGCCGACCUGAGAGGGUGAUCGGCCACAAUGGGACUGAGACACGGCGCAGACUCCUACGGGAGGCAGCAGGAGGGAAUCUUCCGCAAUGGACGAAAGUCUGAAGGAGCAACGCCGCGUGAGCGAUGAAGGCCUUCGGGUCGUAAAGCUCUGUUGUCAGGGAAGAACAAGUACCGGAGUAACUGCCGGUACCUUGACGGUACCUGACCAGAAAGCCACGGCUAACUACGUGCCAGCCGCCGCUGUAAAAC